GCAGGUCCCUUAUUUUCACACACAUACACGCACACAUAUACGCCCACACAUACACAUAUAUUCAUGUUAUAUCAAAAGUCAAAAAUGAUCUGCCAAAGGAGAGUUGCCCUGCAACUAGUUUUAGCUUAGUUACACUGAUGAUAAAGGGGAAACCAAAGGUAUACUCUCUUUUUUUCUUCGAACAUAUAAUAUUUGCAAUAUUUUUUAUCAAUCCAUUUCAAUAGACAAAGUGUGUUGAUAUAUAUAAAUCUCAGUUAGUGUAUAAUUUUGUGUUAGAACAAGCUAGCAAUUUAUUAACAAGUAGAUAUCUUUUAACAUGAUCUAAUUAAUCAUUUAUAGUUCAUUGCAUUCUUUUCUUUUUGUCUCAUAUUAUGAAACUUAGAGACUAAGAAGUUAUACAUAUACAUAAGUGAAAUUUAGAUUUGUAAUUGUCACUAAAACUGACAUGGUAUACAUAUCACAUGAUGCUCAAACACAUCCAAACACAUCAUAAUUAUUAUUUAGGUUUUUAUAACAAAUCUUAGAAUGUUUUUCUUUUGUUUUAUUUUCAUAUUUAUUGUGUAAAAACUUUUAUGAUUGAAUGUGAUAUAUUGGGAGAUGUGGUUUUGCUUUCAAUUUUUAACUGAAUAGUAUGUAAAGUUUUAUUACCUUGACUGAAGAAGGGUUGGUCAGUUUUAGUGGAAGCACCAUAAUUUACUGGUUAAGGUUUAAAGGUUUCUACACCCAUGUCUGGGGUUCGAUUCCCAGACUAUGCAAUUUCUUGCAGAUUAUAUGAUGCAGAGCUUAUUGGAAGUUCCAUAGUACUGUAGGCAGAACCGUUCGUUGUGGUCGUUUGCUGCAGAGAUAUCCAGUCCAUCGAAGACGUCGUACAUGCAGAACCGUCCGUCGAUCCAAGUGUUUCGAGGAGAGCUUUAUCGUGGAAUCCUUAUCCGUAGAGCUGUUCAUCAAUAUUGCAUAUGUUGCAGGUAGUUGAUCAUCAUAUCUAAUAGAAUUAGAGAUUAUAUGAUGAUGUAAUGUGUUACCCAGUGUUAAAAAAAAAAAUUGGUAACUUGGUAAUAUAUUUUUGUUGUUAGUAUACCUCAU
rnacentral:lncRNA from 1 species